rnacentral:tRNA from 1 species
GUAUUGGUGGUUCAGUGGUAGAAUGUGCACCUUCCAUGCAGGGGGCCCUGGUUCAACUCCUGGCCAAUGCA